GCCGGGGUGGCGGAACAGGUAGACGCUGGGGACUUAAAAUCCCCUGGCUAUAACAUGGCCGUGCCGGUUCGAGUCCGGCCCUCGGCA
rnacentral:tRNA from 1 species